CAACACAGGAAAGAUAUCGAGCUUCUUGAAAAGGUCCAGAGAAGGGCCAUGAAGUUAAUCUAAGGGCUGGAGCAUCACUCAUGCAAAGAUAGGCUGAAGGAGCUGGGCUUCUUCAGUCUGGAGAAGAGAAAGCUGUGGGUGUGUGAGAGUCACUGCGUUCCUGGCUUACUGUGGCUCACGGAUGCGAGGCUUGAAGGCUGUAGGUGUAGGUAUAAAAUAAUCUCAGAAAUGCAGAGCACGGAAUGAAUCCCAGUGAACUGCCCUACUGACGCAGGUUGAUCGCAUUCAGAGCGGGGCCGCUGAGGGUCCCCACCGACCACGAGGGGGAGCCCGCUCCCCGCGGAGCGCUGCCUCCGGCCCCGCGUCCUCCGCCGCUCCCCAGGGCCCUCCCGCCUUGGCCACCUCGUUAAUAACAGACCAGCAGCUGAGAGCUUGAGUGAAAAUACUUAUGCAGAAGUACCCCAAGUCUAGAAAGUAACUGGAUUCAAGCAUGG